CCUUCUCCUCGCGACUCCUUUAAGAGCUAUAACUCUUAUUUUGCGCGAACCUGCGGGAUCCGGUCUCACGCUGGACACAGCCUCGCCGGUAUGCGGGGUCAAGGUCGCAUCUCCCCGCGUGCAAGGUGAUUCUGAUCGAAUCGAAUAUUUACAGUAAGCGUUACACGUCCGUUUAAGAGCUUGGACACACCGGGGUGAAACGAAGAGCGCAAACUUCACAGUGUGGUACGAGUGAGGUUGAGGUGGUGUGACCCGGACUGGCGAUUUAGCCCGGCGCGCAGCCUACUGUGCCUCCCUGGUGGACUCAGCACGAGACAGGCGCUCCAUGCGGCAGCGCUCGUGCAGUCUCUGCGGAGCAAUAUGACGAAUUCGAGACUGAAUGCAGCUCCGGGUAAGCAGCGCGAGAGACCCCGACUAUAUGUAAGUAUGGCUCACGAGCAUCUGCCUCACUCUCGUUCAUGCGUCCGGUGUUUUGACACGUGACGCUUCGCCGCGAGACGUCUUCACUUGUGAAGCGUCUCUGCAUGUAAAUGCUGUCUGUAUUAAAUGGCAGCUGAGUGUGUGUGCAUGCGUAAGUGAUGUGGCAUGCGUGCAGUAUCCGUGUGAACAGUGAACUGAAGUGUGUAAGGGCCCUAUGAUUUUUUAAAACCAUCUGAAAAUGUGUAUCUCUAGUAGGCCUAUAUUGAAAUUAUGCAGGAUUAUAGACAAUAUUUGGAUAGGCCGAAACGUUUAGCAAUUGACGACGCUAAAAAAGAAUACAGGGUCCACAUUUCAAAACACAGAUAUUUCUAUUUUAAAAUAAUGUAUUUUCAGGAUUUACUCAAAUUACAUCUGGAAGUCAUUAUUAAUUAUAUGCUUGUGUGUCAUUGGAAACAAAAUAUAAAAUAGUUUUGGAAAUAAACAGAGAAUGACCUUGGAGGGCACAUUAAGCUCACAUGUAUCCAGAAUGUUCGAGUGUUUAUUGAACGUGGUGACAGCUCUUGCCAAUCCUGGCCAUGAACAGGCCA